CGUAAUUUCCGACUGUGACGUCACUUCCCUUUUCCGCCCGAUCGGCGCCGGCAGCUCCGCGUGCGAUUUGGGAGCCGCCCCUCCCCCACCAUGUCGCGAUUCUUCACCACCGGCUCCGACAGCGAAUCCGAGUCCUCGGCCUCGGGGGAGGAGCCCCAGGCCAAGACCCCGGGGGCAAACUACAGCAAGCCCCUCCUGCUGAGCGGAGGAUGAGGAGGACACAAAAGGGUCGUCCGGAGCGCCCGAGAUAAAAGGUGGGGGAG